rnacentral:rRNA from 1 species
CUACGGGUGGCUGCAGUUAGGGAUUUUUUGCAAUGCGCGAAAGCGUGACAAAGCGAGCCAGAGUGUUUCUCGUAUAGAGAAACUUUUGUCAGCUGUAAAAAGGCUGAUGAAUAAGGAGUGGGUAAGACUGGUGCCAGCCGCCGCGGUAAUACCAGCAGUCCAAGUCGCAACCACAAUUAUUGGGUCUAAAACAUCCGUAGCUUGUUUCAUAAGUCUUCUGUGAAAUUCUGUUUCUCAAGGACAGAGCGAGCAGAAGAUACUGUGUUACUAGAGACUGGGGGAUGUGAGGAGUACGGCCAAGGUAGUAGUAAGAUACGUUAAUCUUGGUUGGACUAACAAGAGCGAGGGCACCUCGCAACUACAGUUCUGACAGUGAGGGAUGAAGGCUAGGGGCGCAAAACGGAUUAGAUACCCUCGUAGUC